UGGCCUAGUGGUUAAGGCUAUGGAUCGCCAAUCCGGAGACGACGGGUUCGAUUCCCGU
rnacentral:tRNA from 1 species